rnacentral:rRNA from 1 species
UACGUAGGCAGCGAGCGUUGUUCGGAGUUACUGGGCGUAAAGGGUGUGUAGGCGGUUGUUUACGUUUGGUGUGAAAUCUCCCGGCUUAACCGGGAGGGUGCGCCGAAUACUGAAUGACUAGAGUGCGGGAGAGGUGAGUGGAAUUCCUGGUGUAGCGGUGAAAUGCGUAGAUAUCAGGAGGAACACCGGUGGUGCAGACGGCUCACUGGACCGUAACUGACGCUGAGACACGAAAGCGUGGGUAGCAAACAGG